rnacentral:rRNA from 1 species
GACGAAGGUGGCGAGCGUUGUUCGGAAUCACUGGGCAUAAAGCGCACGUAGGCGGCGACGUAAGUUGGGUGUGAAAUCCCUCGGCCCAACCGAGGAACUGCGCCCAGUACUGCGUUGCUUGAGGAUCCAAGGGGUGCAUGGAAUUCCCGGUGGAGCGGUGAAAUGCGCAGAUAUCGGGAGGAACACCAGUGGCGAAGGCGGCAUCCUGGCCUGUAACUGACGCUGAGACGCGAAAGCGUGGGGAGCGAACCGG